AUCAUUUUCUUUGCAGUUUGUUGGGCCUUAAACGUUAUAUGUGUAUUUAUUUCUGUUGGACUUCAUGUUUCAUUUAGUUGUUGUGUUAUUUGCUCAGGCUUUUUUUGUCGUUUCAGUUAGAGUUUACCCCAUUUCAUUCUUCUUCACCUCUCCAGAACACAGAUAUCGAUUAGGUCUUCGAAAUCGAUCUUCCAUCUUCUUUCUCAAAGUAACGCAACCUUACGAGUUACCUGGUUAUCAUUUUAAAACCCUCCAUUACUCUCUCACACAUGAUCUACAUUCAAUGCGACUUCUGGAUCUGCAAGGCGGUGGAGGUUCAUCUAUAUAAAGACUGGCCACUCCUCCUUCACUGUUCAAGUCCGUUGUUAUGUUUUUUGGGAGUCUAGGACUGUCCACCAUGGUGGAGAGCUCAUGGAAGUGGAUAUGAUCCUACUGUACUCUCAGGUCGAUGUCCACACAUCAAAGGUGUCAAGGUUACAGCUGUGGUUCCGAGUGGAGCUUUCACUGGUAUCUACGAGACUCUUGAGCUCAGUGAUGGGGGAUCAGACUACCUUGGGAAGGAUGCCUCUAAGGUGAGAAACUAUAUUUUUAGUGAAAGAAUUGUUAUCCGAUUUUUGUCCUAUUUGCUUUUUUUUUUUUGUUGAUGUCAACAGGCUGUUGACAACUUCAUGGUCUAUGAACUGAUGGAACCCAAAAUGAGCGGGGUUAAUGCAAUCAAAAUCAAAAGCUUGGAGCCAAUUGUAUCAUUGAUGCGUGCAAACCUGGGGUCAUUGUCAAUGGCAUUCGUCUCUACAAAGCGAAGAUAGAAGAGCAACAGGUAAACAUAGAUUAGACGAUGGGAGAGAUAGGAAAACAAUAAUAAAUAUUACUUAUUAUAUUGAUUAUAUUUUUUUUACAUUUUUCAUGGUAAGAUCAAUUUGUAAAUUUUAACACGAAAGGAAAAUAGUUCUGAAUAAAUCUUCAACUUUCUGUCUU